rnacentral:rRNA from 1 species
ACUCCUACGGGAGGCAGCAGUGGGGAAUUUUGGACAAUGGGCGAAAGCCUGAUCCAGCAAUGCCGCGUGCAGGAUGAAGGCCUUCGGGUUGUAAACUGCUUUUGUACGGAACGAAAAAGCUCCUUCUAAUACAGGGGGCCCAUGACGGUACCGUAAGAAUAAGCACCGGCUAACUACGUGCCAGCAGCCGCGGUAAUACGUAGGGUGCGAGCGUUAAUCGGAAUUACUGGGCGUAAAGCGUGCGCAGGCGGUUAUGUAAGACAGAUGUGAAAUCCCCGGGCUCAACCUGGGAACUGCAUUUGUGACUGCAUGGCUAGAGUACGGUAGAGGGGGAUGGAAUUCCGCGUGUAGCAGUGAAAUGCGUAGAUAUGCGGAGGAACACCGAUGGCGAAGGCAAUCCCCUGGACCUGUACUGACGCUCAUGCACGAAAGCGUGGGGAGCAAACAGGAUUAGAUACCCU